rnacentral:rRNA from 1 species
GACGAACGCUGGCGGCGUGCCUAAUACAUGCAAGUCGAGCGGACUUGAAGGAGUGCUUGCACUCCUGAGAGUUAGCGGCGGACGGGUGAGUAACACGUAGGCAACCUGCCCUCAAGACUGGGAUAACUACCGGAAACGGUAGCUAAUACCGGAUAAUUUAUUACAUAGCAUUAUGUGAUAAUGAAAGACGGAGUAAUCUGUCACUUGGGGAUGGGCCUGCGGCGCAUUAGCUAGUUGGUGGGGUAACGGCCCACCAAGGCGACGAUGCGUAGCCGACCUGAGAGGGUGAACGGCCACACUGGGACUGAGACACGGCCCAGACUCCUACGGGAGGCAGCAGUAGGGAAUCUUCCGCAAUGGGCGAAAGCCUGACGGAGCAACGCCGCGUGAGUGAUGAAGGUUUUCGGAUCGUAAAGCUCUGUUGCCAAGGAAGAACGUCUCAUAGAGUAACUGCUAUGAGAGUGACGGUACUUGAGAAGAAAGCCCCGGCUAACUACGU